rnacentral:rRNA from 1 species
UCCUACGGGGGGCAGCAGUAGGGAAUCUUCCCCAAUGGGCGAAAGCCUGAUGGAGCAACGCCGCGUGGGUGAAGAAGGUCUUCGGAUCGUAAAACCCUGUUGUUAGAGAAGAAAGUGCGUGAGAGUAACUGUUCACGUUUCGACGGUAUCUAACCAGAAGGCCACGGCUAACUACGUGCCAGCAGCCGCGGUAAUACGUAGGUGGAAAGCGUUAUCCGGAUUUAUUGGGCGUAAAGGGAACGCAGGCGGUCUUUUAAGUCUGAUGUGAAAGCCUUGGGCUUAACCGGAGUAGUGCAUUGGAAACG